GGUUAAGUGAAUAAGGGCGCACGGUGGAUGCCUUGGCACUAGGAGCCGAUGAAGGACGGGACUAACACCGAUAUGCUUUGGGGAGCUGUAAGUAAGCUAUGAUCCAGAGAUUUCCGAAUGGGGGAACCCAACAUCUUUUAUAGGAUGUUACUUUUCAGUGAAUACAUAGCUGAUUAGAGGUAGACGCAGAGAACUGAAACAUCUAAGUACCUGCAGGAAGAGAAAGAAAAUUCGAUUCCCUGAGUAGCGGCGAGCGAAACGGGAAAAGCCCAAACCAAGAUGCUUGCAUCUUGGGGUUGUAGGACUCCAAUAUGGUAGUACGAUCAGAUAGUCGAAUGACUUGGAAAAGUCAGUCAAAGAGGGUAAAAACCCCGUAGACGAAAUUUGGUAUGCACCUAGGAGGAUCCUGAGUACGGCGGAACACGAGAAAUUCCGUCGGAAUCCGGGAGGACCAUCUCCCAAGGCUAAAUACUCCCUAGUGACCGAUAGUGAACCAGUACCGUGAGGGAAAGGUGAAAAGCACCCCGGAAGGGGAGUGAAAUAGAUCCUGAAACCGUGUGCCUACAACAAGUCAAAGCCCGUUAAUGGGUGAUGGCGUGCCUUUUGUAGAAUGAACCGGCGAGUUACGAUUGCAUGCGAGGUUAAGCUGAAGAGGCGGAGCCGUAGCGAAAGCGAGUCUGAAUAGGGCGUUUUAGUAUGUAGUCGUAGACCCGAAACCAUGUGAUCUACCCAUGUCCAGGUUGAAGGUGCGGUAAAACGCACUGGAGGACCGAACCCACGUACGUUGAAAAGUGCGGGGAUGAGGUGUGGGUAGCGGAGAAAUUCCAAUCGAACUUGGAGAUAGCUGGUUCUCUCCGAAAUAGCUUUAGGGCUAGCCUCGGAUUUAAGAAUGAUGGAGGUAGAGCACUGUUUGGACUAGGGGCCCAUCUCGGGUUACCGAAUUCAGAUAAACUCCGAAUGCCAUUCAUUUAUAUCCGGGAGUCAGACUGUGAGUGAUAAGAUCCAUAGUCGAAAGGGAAACAGCCCAGACCACCAGCUAAGGUCCCAAAAUAUAUGUUAAGUGGAAAAGGAUGUGGGGUUGCACAGACAACUAGGAUGUUGGCUCAGAAGCAGCCACCAUUUAAAGAGUGCGUAAUAGCUCACUAGUCGAGUGACCCUGCGCCGAAAAUGUACCGGGGCUAAACAUAUUACCGAAGCUGUGGAGUGUACCUUUGGUACACUGGUAGGAGAGCGUUCUAAGGGCGUUGAAGGUAGACCGUGAGGACUACUGGAGCGCUUAGAAGUGAGAAUGCCGGUAUGAGUAGCGAAAGACAGGUGAGAAUCCUGUCCACCGAAUGACUAAGGUUUCCUGGGGAAGGCUCGUCCGCCCAGGGUUAGUCGGGACCUAAGCCGAGGCCGACAGGCGUAGGCGAUGGACAACAGGUUGAUAUUCCUGUACUCGUUGUUUUUGUUUGAGCAAUGGAGGGACGCAGGAGGCUAAGGAAUGCAGACGAUCGGAAAUGUCUGUCCAAGCAACAAGUCUUAGUGAGAGUCAAAUGCUUUCACUUUCAAGGACAAGUUGUGAUGGGGAGGGAAAUAAUAGUACCGAAGUUCCUGAUGUCACACUGCCAAGAAAAGCUUCUAGUG
rfam:Enterococcus sulfureus ATCC 49903 acyDF-supercont2.6, whole genome shotgun sequence.